UGCAAGAAAAAUGAUUAGCUUUCAAAAAAUAAAAAUAAACUAUAACGUAUAUUUGCAUGAAACAAUUGUUUAUAUAGCUUCUUCCAUCGCUUAGGUUGCAGACGCUCUGCUCAUCCUACUCCUUUGGUUCCGAGAAAGACGAGAAGCUUUUUUAUCCCUCUCAAAGAGCUUGUACCCAACUUCAUAAGAAAUAAAAUAAAAUUAUCGCUUGAUCUUCAGAGCUUGGCCUGUAAACCUAAGCAGUUGCAGAGUCGUCCCUUGAGCUAUCUCGAAGACUCAACCUGCAGCCCUUUAAGCAGUUGCAAAGUCAGACUGGUUAAAGUUCCUUUUCUUUUCUUUUCUUUUGUGCGAAGAUUGACUUAAUUAUACAUGAAUGAGACAAAAAGAAAGAUUGAGAAAACCUUCUAAGAUAAUAUUCCGUUCAAGGAGGAAAAUGUUUACAGAAUAAAGGAAAGAAUGGUGGGAUGGCCAAUUAAAUAUUAUGGUGCCAUAAGCCACCCGGCCCCUCGAAGCCGGGAACCUGACAACAAUCGAUCUAAGCCAUAAAUCAGGGGAUCAAGCAGCAGGCUCGUUUCC
rnacentral:lncRNA from 1 species